rnacentral:rRNA from 1 species
AUUGAACGCUGGCGGCAGGCCUAACACAUGCAAGUCGAACGGUAGCACAGAGAGCUUGCUCUCGGGUGACGAGUGGCGGACGGGUGAGUAAUGUCUGGGAAACUGCCCGAUGGAGGGGGAUAACUACUGGAAACGGUAGCUAAUACCGCAUAACGUCGCAAGACCAAAGUGGGGGACCUUCGGGCCUCACACCAUCGGAUGUGCCCAGAUGGGAUUAGCUAGUAGGUGGGGUAAUGGCUCACCUAGGCGACGAUCCCUAGCUGGUCUGAGAGGAUGACCAGCCACACUGGAACUGAGACGCGGUCCAGACUCCUACGGGAGGCAGCAGUGGGGAAUAUUGCACAAUGGGCGCAAGCCUGAUGCGGCCAUGCCGCGUGUAUGAAGAAGGCCUUCGGGUUGUAAAGUACUUUCAGCGGGGAGGAAGGCGGUGGAGUUAAUAACCUCAGCAAUUGACGUUACCCGCAGAAGAAGCACCGGCUAACUCCGUGCCAGCCGCCGCAGUAA